rnacentral:rRNA from 1 species
CGGACGGGUGAGUAAUGUCUGGGAAACUGCCCGAUGGAGGGGGAUAACUACUGGAAACGGUAGCUAAUACCGCAUAACGUCGCAAGACCAAAGAGGGGGACCUUCGGGCCUCUUGCCAUCGGAUGUGCCCAGAUGGGAUUAGCUAGUAGGUGGGGUAAUGGCUCACCUGGGCGACGAUCCCUAGCUGGUCUGAGAGGAUGACCAGCCACACUGGAACUGAGACACGGUCCAG